rnacentral:sRNA from 1 species
ACUGCUUUUCUUUGAAAUCCUCAAAUUGUGGAGCCCGCUAAGAAUAUACUUAGCGGGUUUUUUAUU